GGGGACUCCGUCUAGUGAUGAGCUGAUGGUGCAUGAUCCGCCGUUAAAUCCUCUUCCGGCGGCGAUCGAGGUCGUUGUGUCUUCGUUAGAUGGUGAUGGUCUCAAGUAGGGCUUGUUGGCUCCAUUUGUAAGGGGAACACAAUCUGGGCUUACUCUCUGAUACCUAAUUAAAUAACAAAAACAAUAUCAGAUCAAAAUCACUAAACCAAAAGACUCUAUGAAGCUCGGAAAUUUCAGAACAGUUUGGUUGUCGGAUCAAAAAGAGAUGGUAGAAAAAUGAAAACGAAACUCGGAGAAGAAGAUCAGGUUUGACAUUAGAGCCAUAAACAGGUUUGAAUAUCAAGCUUUUCAAAUCAAACUCAGAUCCAUAGAAACCAAUAGAAAUCCAAAACAGUGGAAAACUCCGAUGGUCAGCGUAUCCCGAAAACGCACAAAGCCAAAAUAAAAAAAGAAAAAAAAGAAAAACAGAGAGGAUGA